CACACGUAGGCCACCUUGAUAGCCUUUUCUUGCUUUAUAUCUUCUGGUGAGUUUGCUGCGAUAUAUUUGGUUUUAUUGAUUUUGAUCUCAUUUCCCUUGAUAUAAUGAGGAGGUUGUUUACUCUAGAGAAGUUGCUGAUUCUUAUUCAG